UACGGGGGGGGUAAGCGUUGUUCGGAAUUACUGGGCGUAAAGGGCUCGUAGGCGGCCAACUAAGUCAGACGUGAAAUCCCCCGGCUUAACCAGGGAACUGCGUCUGAUACUGGAUGGCUUGAGUUUGGGAGAGGGAUGCGGAAUUCCAGGUGUAGCGGUGAAAUGCGUAGAUAUCUGGGGGAACACCGGUGGCGAAGGCGACAUCCUGGACCAACACUGACGCUGAGUGAGCGAAAGCCAGGGGAGCAAACGGG
rnacentral:rRNA from 1 species